rnacentral:rRNA from 1 species
UACGGGGGGUGCGAGCGUUGUCCGGAAUCACUGGGCGUAAAGGGCGCGUAGGUGGUUUGAUAAGGGUGUGGUGAAAGUCCGGGGCUCAACCCCGGAUCUGCCGUGCCGACUGUCAAACUCGAGGACUGUAGAGGCAGACGGAAUUCCGGGUGUAGCGGUGGAAUGCGUAGAGAUCCGGAAGAACACCGGUGGCGAAGGCGGUGAGCUGGGCAGUAGCUGACACUGAGGCGCGACAGCGUGGGGAGCAAACAGG